ensembl:lncRNA
GUUCUCACUGGUGUGGGAUCUUUUAGGCAUUUCUCUGCUCAACAGCGAUAAACAAUAACAAUUAUUAUUGGCACAAAUAGUCACAUCACUGCUGAGUAACGAAUGUACCAAGAUAAGAAGUCAAGCUGUAAUUUCAGUCCUGCUAUCUUUCCAAAGAACAUGCAGCCAAGAUAACCUUACCAUUCAGCACGAUAGCCUCCUGCAAAAGCUGGGGCAGGGAGUGUUCUCACUGGGGAGGCCUCCUUUGCUCACAGGAGGUGCAAAAACAGGCAGUAAGAAGACCUACUUCAAGUCCAGGCUCCACUAACAACCAGGGAGUCACUGGAGGUAUGGACCUAAUGCUUACAACUUGGAAGCGCCAGAAAGAAAGUACAGAAGAUGCAGUGGUCAGCCCCCCACUGAUCCCAAGGACUCAAGCCAUUCACCCAAUAGAGUUUGCCCUUGUGCUCAUGAUGAAUCAUGGAACCAUCACCCUUGAAUGUGCUAUAAUUUUAAUUUUAAAGAAAUGCCCAAAGGACCAUUCAUCUCUUAGAGCACUCUUUCUUACCCACACCAUGAAGCAGUUGAUUUCUUUAUGUUCCGAUGAGUAGCCAACCUAUAAACAGGAACAUCAAGCUCUGUGAUGUCUUUUUUGCCGAGGAAUAGUGGCGGAGACCACUCCUUUCCGCCUUCAUUUGUUACUAUUUUUCU